AUAUGAAGGCCCUUCAAACCGGCUGGAUUAUUUUUCUUCACCCUUGUCUUUUGCGCACUUGUUGUUUCCUGGGCGGGUUCGCUCGCCACCAGGACCACACCAUAAACCUUUUUGUUAAUGCAAUCAGCGUCAGUAAAAAGUAAUAAUUAUUUUACAACUUUCAACAACGGAUCUCUUGGUUCUGGCAUCGAUGAAGAACGCAGCGAAAUGCGAUACGUAGUGUGAAUUGCAGAAUUCAGUGAAUCAUCGAAUCUUUGAACGCACAUUGCGCCCUUUGGUAUUCCAAAGGGCAUGCCUGUUCGAGCGUCAUUUGUACCCUCAAGCUUUGCUUGGUGUUGGGCGUUGUUUGUCUUUGGCCUUGCCCAAAGACUCGCCUUAAAACAAUUGGCAGCCGGCCUACUGGUUUCGCAGCGCAGCACAUUUUUGCGCUUGCAAUCAGCAAAAGAGGUUGGCCAUCCAUCAAGACUACAUU
rnacentral:rRNA from 1 species